rnacentral:rRNA from 1 species
CUACGGGGUGCAGCAGUGAGGAAUAUUGCACAAUGGGGGGAACCCUGAUGCAGCAACGCCGCGUGGAGGAUGACACAUUUCGGUGUGUAAACUCCUUUUAUAUGUCAAGAAAAUGACGGUAGCAUAUGAAUAAGCACCGGCUAACUCCGUGCCAGCAGCCGCGGUAAUACGGAGGGUGCAAGCGUUACUCGGAAUCACUGGGCGUAAAGGACGCGUAGGCGGGUUGGAAAGUCAGGUGUGAAAUCCUACAGCUUAACUGUAGAACUGCACUUGAAACUUCUAAUCUAGAGUAUGGGAGGGGGAGAUGGAAUUAGUGGUGUAGGGGUAAAAUCCGUAGAUAUCACUAGGAAUACCUAAAGCGAAGGCGAUCUCCUGAAACAUUACUGACGCUAAGGCGUGAAAGCGUGGGGAGCAAACAGGAUUAGAUACCCCCGGUAGUC